rnacentral:lncRNA from 1 species
GCAACCUCCUCCUAUUCAAUCUUUUCUUGUGAUGAAUGAAAAUUUUGGUGGCGAAGCCUCUAUUAAGGUAUAAUUAUUUACUUUCCUACUCAAUAUAUUUUUUUUAUUGUACAUUGAGAUGUGAUGAAUGAAAAUUUUGGUGGCGAAGCCUCUAUUAAGGUAUAAUUAUUUACUUUCCUACUCAAUAUAUUUUUUUUUAUUGUACAUUGAGAUGUGAUGAAUGAAAAUUUUGGUGGCGAAGCCUCUAUUAAGGUAUAAUUAUUUACUUUCCUACUCAAUAUAUUUUUUUUUAUUGUACAUUGAGAUGAGAAUAUGUUGGUUUCUCAUUUGAUAUGACCCAUCAGUGCCUUUAAAAUAGAAAGAAAUUAUUGGAGGAGAGGAAGUGACUAUGGAAGCUCCGAUGGAAAAGCUCAUGGACGGCUUGAAGCUUCAUGUUUGGUUGGUAUUAGAUUUUUAGGUUUUUCUAUUUAAGUUUCAAUUUGUUUUUUUUUUUUAAUUUUUCUAUCACGGGAUUUAUAUUUAUUUUUCUCAACUUGUGUCAUAGUUGUCGCAGGUAAUUAUGAGAGCAUCAAGGUCCAAAGAACAAGAGGACUUGGUCCUUGCACAAGAGCUGCGGAUGCAACUCGAUAUCCUUCAAGAGACGGUAGGACACAAUUGGUGCCAUUUGUUUUUUUCCACAAUAUUUGUCUCAAGAAACAAGAAAUUCUUCGUAUGAAGUUUGAACAGUUGUAAUAGGUAAUUUAUCCAUUGUUUUAGUUCAUAGAAGAAUCACGACAAUAUGUUUAUUACUAAAAAUAUUAAUUUUCUUUUACAAAAAU